rnacentral:tRNA from 1 species
GGUCCCGUAGCUCAGUAGGAUAGAGCACCAGAUUCCUAAUCUGGGGGUCGGUAGUUCGAAUCUACCCGGGAUCACCA